rnacentral:rRNA from 1 species
AUUGAACGCUGGCGGCAGGCCUAACACAUGCAAGUCGAACGAGUGGCGGACGGGUGAGUAAUGUCUGGGAAACUGCCUGAUGGAGGGGGAUAACUACUGGAAACGGUAGCUAAUACCGCAUACCCUCAGAUGUGCCCAGAUGGGAUUAGCUUGUGGGGGGGGUAACGGCUCACUAAGGCGACGAUCCCUAGCUGGUCUGAGAGGUUGACCAUCCACACUGGAACGUGGACACUGUCCAGACGCCUACGUGAGGCAGCAGUGGGGAAUUUUGCACAAUGGGCGCAAGCCGGAUGCAGCCAUGCGGCUUGUAUGAAGAAGGCCUUCGGGUUGUAAAGUACUUUCAGCGGGGAGGCGUUACCCGCAGAAGAAGCACCGGCUAACUCCGUGCCAGCAGCCGCGGUAAUAC